CUGGGGUUCAUCAGCAUCACUAGCCUCUGUUUCGCUACUCUCAUAGACAUCUUGGCUCUCUGCUCUGUCCAAUUCCAGAAAACUGAUGACAAGCUUGGCAACUGCUUCCACAUCACUUCUGCAGCCCAGCACAGCACUCUGAGUCAGUGGGUGUGAAAAUCCAGUGACAAAUCGUAGCACCACCAGGUAACCCUUCCCAAAAUAUCGCACGGUCUCCUCUUCCACAUUCACAUCUCUGAUCUCAUGCAGUAGAGCAACCACUUGCUCACUGCCCCCUUUUGAGAAGGUCAGCAUCUUUUUGUAAAGAUUGAAUGUUUUUAGGCAGACUGUUCCCUUGUUCUUGUCAAAUACAG
rnacentral:lncRNA from 1 species